AUUGAACGCUGGCGGCAUGCUUUACACAUGCAAGUCGAGCGGCAGCGCGGGGGCAACCCUGGCGGCGAGCGGCGAACGGGUGAGUAAUGCAUCGGAACGUAUCCUCGAGUGGGGGAUAACCCAGCGAAAGUUGGGCUAAUACCGCAUGAGCUCUGAGGAGGAAAGCGGGGGACCUGCGAGGGCCUCGCGCUGGAGGAGCGGCCGAUGUCCGAUUAGCUAGUUGGUGGGGUAAAGGCUUACCAAGGCGACGAUCGGUAGCUGUUCUGAGAGGAUGAUCAGCCACACUGGGACUGAGACACGGCCCAGACUCCUACGGGAGGCAGCAGUGGGGAAUUUUGGACAAUGGGGGCAACCCUGAUCCAGCCAUGCCGCGUGAGUGAAGAAGGCCUUCGGGUUGUAAAGCUCUUUCGGACGGAACGAAAUGGGCGGGACUAAUACUCCUGUCUGAUGACGGUACCGUAAGAAGAAGCACCGGCUAACUACGUG
rnacentral:rRNA from 1 species